UGGCUUCUUUAAAUCCUUGGUUUUUGAACUCCCAUACAACUCAAUUUUCUAACAAUUCUGGCUGAUAUUUGUUUUGUAGUGUGGUUGUAAUUUUUGCUGUAGUUGUGAGAGGAGGUGAGGCGUGUUUACCUACAUCUCCAUCUUGA